AUUAACACAUGCAGCCGUGAACACUUUUUGAAGCGGCGCUGUGGGAUUACUUGUGUGAGGAGAGGAAGGAAGCCGGCGUGUGGGAUGGGUUGAGGGUCCAACAUUGCCUCUUUCGUGUUCAAGCCGCCUGGCGCUCUCGUCUCAUCACUGGGAAGGACUACUGGCCAUGAGUGUAGCGUUGAGGAAGACUUGCUGCCCCCUCGCCCUCAAGGCUGGCCUGCAGCCUGAGUGGCCAGGAGCAGCGGAGCAGAUUGUCACUGGUGUGAGGACCAAGGCCUGAUGAGAAGGACCACCACCACCGUGCUGCUGCCUUCUCCAGCCAUAAAGGAAAGGGAAAGGUUGAGUGUCAGGACUGUAGGACAAUUUGAUAGGGGAGAGGAAGUUCAUCAGACACAGCCUUGCACACACUGGUUCAGGAAACCAUGAGAGCCAGGAGUGUGAGAAAA